AAGUAAAUACUAUGUGAUGUCUUAGAGCAGAAAAGAGAAAGGACAUUAGGUAAAAACUAAGGAAAUCUGGCUGGCCCAUCAAUCAUUACAAAUACACAAUACUGAUGGAAAAUGUUGAUAAUGGUAGAAUAUGAGAACCCUCUACUGGCUUCGCAAUUUUCCUGUAAAUUUGAAUCUGUUGUACAAAAUAAAGGGUUGGGUGUUUUUUUAUUUAGUAUAAUUUAACCUUUUGUGAUUUUUACAGAAAACCUUUGCAAAGCUUAUAAUGCACAUGAGGCAGUAUGUUUCCUGAGUUACAGAGAUCUGUGAUAUUGUGAAACCCUAUCCUGUAAGCCUAAAUGCAAGAGAAAAAAAGUAAAAAUAAUGUCCCAUGAGUCCUCUCCAACAAAAAUUAAACCACUACUUAAAAUUUUUAAUUAUCGAAAUUUACAGCUAUACUAGAAAGAUUCAUUUUCCAAAGGGUCAGGUAUCAUCCUUAGAUACUGUCUUCACUUUACAACUGUGAGAAACAGACAUUUCCAAGCACCAAUUCAUAUAUGUAGAAUAUACACAUAUGUACACAAAAUUUAAGGACAACAUAGCAAAUAAGGUAAGGAGGUGGGUAGGAUAGAAAUAUGAAAUUUAACUUUGUAGGGAUAAGAAAACAGAUUUCUAGAUUUGAUAAUAAUGUUAUCAUUACUGUGAGAUAACCUUCUUAUAUCAAUAGGUGGUGUUCAAAGAGAUUUUGAACAAAAAGUGCACCAUCAGCAUUAGCAUCUAAGAUAAUUCAUCUGGCAUCAGAAUUUGUGAUUUUGCUGAUUUCUGUGAGAAGACUGAGUCAUUUGGCAACAAAUGAUGUAAGACAUUAAACUUGAAGAUGAAGGGAACCACAAAGUCUUGUGAAAUUUUCAUGAUGACCUAGGAUUUCUUUGAAUACCUACCUACCUACCUACAUAUAUACAUACAUAAAACAAAGUUGCUGCUGAGAUAAAAUAUAUAUACAAAAAUGGGUUCUUUUUUAAGAAAAGAAUGAUAAUUAAGUGCUAGAAAAAAAUUUAAGUAUUUUCAGUUCUUCUGGAAGAAACCGUGUCAAAUAUACCAUGUCAAAUAUAAAAGUCUUAUUUAUUUCUAUAAUUAUUACUAUUUAAGGAUGCCUAUAGAAUUACAUAUAAUCUGGCAGUCCCAUUCCUAGGAAUAUGUCUAGGCAAAACUAUAAUUCAAAAAGAUACAUGCAUCCCUAUGCUCAGAGCAGCACUAUUCACAAUAGCCAAAACAUGGAAGUAACCUAAAUGUCCAUCAACAGAUGAACAGAUUUAGAAGAUAUGGUACAUAUACACAAUGGAAUACAACUCAGCCGUAAAAAGAACAAAAUAAUACCAUUUACAGCAACAUGGAUGCAGCUAGAGAUUACCACACUAAGUAAGUCAGAAAGAGAAAGACAAAUACCAUAUGAUAUCACUUAUAUGUGGACUCUAAAAUAUGGCGCAAAUGAAUCUAUCUACACAACAGAAGCAGACUCAGACAUGCAGAACAGACUUGUGGUUGCCAAGAGGGAGAGGGGAGGGAGAGGGAUGGACUGGGGGUUUGGGGUUAGUAGAUGCAAACUAUUACAUUUAGAAUGGAUAAGCAGGACUUCCCUUUGUGUCUCAACAGUAAGAACCCGACUAGUAUCCAUGAGGAUGCAGGUUCAAUCCCUGUCCUUAGUAGGUUAAGGAUCCAGCACUGCUGUGAGCUAUGGUGUAGCUCUCAGAUAUGACUCAGAUCCCACAUUGCUGUGGCUGUGGCAUAGGCCAGCAGCUAUAGUUCUGAAUCAACCCCUAGCUGGGAGCUUCCAUAUGCUACAGAUGCAAAAAAAAAAAAAAAAACGGAAUGGAUAAUCAAUGAGGUCCUACUAUACAGCACAGGGAACUAUAUCCAAUCUCCUAGUUCCACAGAAGUGAAAAGAGCAUAAAAAAGAAUGUAUAUAUAACUGAACCCCUUUGCUGUACAGCAGAAAUUGGCACGAUAUUGUAAAUCAAUUAUAAUUUAAAUUUUUAAAACAUUUUAAAAAAGAAUGUCUAAGGAGUUCAUUUAUGGCAUAGUGGGUUAAGUAGCUGGUCUUGUCACUGCUGCAAUGCUGGUUAAGUCCCUGGCCUGGGAACUUCUGCAUGCCACAGGUGUUGCUGAAAAAAAAAAAUGCUUAACUUCAAAUACAUUUUUUCAAUUGGGACAUUCAUUACACUGAAUGAAACCACAGAUAUAAUUUAUCUUAUGUUUUGGGUCCUGUUAAAAGUGUGAAAAACAAAAACAACUUUGGUGGCGUAUCAUUCAAUUACAUUAUUUUGAACAGAUGCUGGGUUGUGUUCAGUUGUUAAACAUAAACAAAAGUUUGGAUGUGAAUUGGAUAAAAAUUGGUCUUUUUUUUUGGCCUCACCCUGUGGCAUGAGGAAAUUCCUGGGCCAGGGAUCGAACCCAAGCCACAGAAGUGACAACAUCAGAUCCACACCACAGGAGGACUCCAAAAUAGGUCUUAUUUAAUUUGGGGGAUUUUUACUUUAAACAUUGUGUACACACACACACACACAAAGUAAAGCUUAAUUAUGGACUUCAGACCCAAAUUUACCUGUUAUCCUUUGCGAACCUAUGUCACUGCUUCUGAAGAAUUAUAUAUUCUAUACAAUGUGCUUUUCCACCUUUCUUAUGGCAGCUGUUUCAAACCCAAAUGGAAAGAUGAAUGAGAAAAACUCCCUACUUUUAAAAUCUACCAUGGAGAGAAAACCAGGAGGAAGUCCAAGCUGGCCCUCAGGGAUCUUCCUAGGUUCAGCAGCUUGAGCUGGAAAAAGGAGCACAGCUUGUGCUCUUCUCCCUUUAGCAGCGCCAGAGAAGCACCAGUCAGAGUCCAAACACCCAGAGACCACUUGCUCUUAACACAGGAUAAUGGCCACCAGACCACCAACUCUGUUGCCUCAAGUCAACACCAGCUCUCCUUCACAACAGAUGACAGGCUUUCCAGUAGAAGGGUCUCCCAGAAAAAGAGGGAGCGAAGAGAAAUUCAACUUCACGUCUGUGCUAGGAUCUCAUCAAAUAGGAGUGAAAUGGACAGAUGAAAAAGCUGAAACUGAAGCCAGUCUAAGAGUCUGAGAGUAAACAGUAACCACACAGCUGUCAACCCUGGAGGGAUGUGUGAGGAAUUCAAACCCUCACUUGGCAAAGACCUCCAGGUGCUAUAGAGCCAUCAAGAAGAAAGGAACUUUUGCCCCAGUGCUCAUGCCUUCCUCAAGCAUGACCAGUCUUGGUGGAUACAUGGUACAACCCAGGAGGCUUAAUCUGUAUCUCUCAAUGCAAACCACAAUUUUGCAAGUAGGCCCCUUCUACCGUGUGAGGUCACAGCAAGAAGACAACUGUCUAUGAACCAGGAAGCAGGCCUUCAACAGAUAUCAAAUCUGUGGGUAUCUUGGACUUGGACUUCCCAGUCUCCAGAACUGUGAGAAAUAAAUAUUCAUUGUGUGAG
rnacentral:lncRNA from 1 species